CCUACGGGAGGCAGCAGUGGGGAAUAUUGGACAAUGGGCGAAAGCCUGAUCCAGCCAUGCCGCGUGUGUGAAGAAGGCCUUCGGGUUGUAAAGCACUUUCAGUGGGGAAGAAAGCCUUGGGGCUAAUACCCUCGAGGAAGGACAUCACCCACAGAAGAAGCACCGGCUAACUCCGUGCCAGCAGCCGCGGUAAUACGGAGGGUGCGAGCGUUAAUCGGAAUUACUGGGCGUAAAGCGCGCGUAGGCGGUCUGAUAAGCCGGUUGUGAAAGCCCCGGGCUCAACCUGGGAACGGCAUCCGGAACUGUCAGGCUAGAGUGCAGGAGAGGAAGGUAGAAUUCCCGGUGUAGCGGUGAAAUGCGUAGAGAUCGGGAGGAAUACCAGUGGCGAAGGCGGCCUUCUGGACUGACACUGACGCUGAGGUGCGAAAGCGUGGGUAGCAAACAGGACUAGAUACCCCUGUAGUC
rnacentral:rRNA from 1 species